CAUGAACACAGAUUUUUUAUUUUACAUAGUGGCCAUACACAUAUACACAGAACCAUGAUAUAAUGUUUUGCUGGGCCUUAGGCCUUCAUACAUGUUUGCUGAAUGAAUGAAUGAACAUAUAAAUUAAGGAUAGCACAUGCUUAAUUUUAUUCUUGGUACUAUUGUUACCUCAUGCUUGGGCAUGUGCUAAGAAACCAAAGACCACAAAUUUCGUGAGGAAAAACAGCUCAUCUCUUAUUUUCUCUAGUGCCAUUGAGUUAAGAAUUUCAUCAUUCUUGUUUUAAACUACUUAAACAGAUACAGCCUUUGUUAAAAAAAAGAAAAAAAAAAAAGUUCAAGGACCUGGGAGCAUGUGAAACCCCACUCUCUUCCCUUUCCAGUCUUCCAUUGUUAAAUGCCUUCCUCCCCAGCUAGCCUGGAGAAUACCUGAUUCUGAAAACAUUGCACCCUUUUAUAACACCAGGCUUUAUUGUCAAGUUUCAAUUGCCUCUGCAUAGCCUUAGAAUGUUCUUUUCUCACUCUUCCAGCCCCAACUUCUUCCUCACUUUGUUUCUGCCAUUUUGAAAUUUUACCUAUCCAUAGUAUCUAGCAUUUUUUGAGGGGGUUACUUUUACAUUUUACACUUAAAUACAAAAUUGAGAAAAGAAAAAAAGUUGCCAUGUAUGUAGCAGACCAUAAGAGAGGAUUCAAUAUAAAACAAUACAUUUCCAUUUCAAGAAAAAUUAUAAUACAUAUUGUUUUCAAAGCUGCCCUGCUUUUCUUUCUUGUUGGAUUUUUUUUUUUUUGGUCUGCUAUGCGCUUUUUGCUUCAUUUUCUUUUUCCCCUCCCUCUCUCAUUGACCCAAAAGGCGGCUAUAAUUAAGCAUGUAUGUAUGUUUAUAUGUAUACAUACGCAUAUACACAUAAUCAGAUAUCUAUAAACAUACAUGUACAAUACAUAUAUGUAGGUACAUAAGCAGAUAUCUAUAAAUAUAUAUACACAUACAAGAACAUAUUAAACUUAUUUUUUCCUAUCAUCUGUUUCCCUGAAAGUAGAUAGUCUUUUCCCUGGCAUAUAGUACCUGUUUAAUAAAUGAACUGGACUGAAUUCAAGGCCCAUAUCAGUCAGUCAAUAAAAAUGCAUUAAACGCCUACUAUGUUUCAUGCAAUGAACUAAGUGCAAGGCUUGCAAAGAAAGCAAAAGACAAACCUUGUUCUCAUAGAGCUCAGAGUCUAAUUGGGGAGACAAAAUGAAAACAACUAUGUAAAAAUAUGCUGUCUAUGUAUAUAUGACAUAUACAUACAUAGAUCUUUUCCAAUUUAUCAUAAAUGUAUUUUUAUAUAUGACAAAUUGGAAAUAAUCAAUAGAAAAAACUAGAACUAAGGUAGAAUGAGGACAGGUUUAAUGUAGAAGAUUUUGUCAAACACCAACACCUCCAUCCAUUUAACAAUAAACAUAUAUUGAGCACCUAUUAUAUACAAAGGCACUGGAAGUUCUGAAAAGACACCUAUGAAUUAAAAGAAUUUGAAAUUUUUUUCCAGGUCUGAAAUUCUAUGAAUCUAUGAAAACUUUCCUUUAUCCUCCCAACUACAAGUAAUUUCUCCCUACUGUAUAUGUGAAUUUCCACAAGAAGUUGCAUAAGAAGUGCCUGGCAUAAACUGAACACUUAAUAAAUGCUUGUUGAAUGAAUUAAUAUUACUCAAAUGUAUCUGUGGUCUCAUCAUUUUGGAAGUUUGAUGAUACAGAAUUCACCCCAUCCAUGUCUCUUGAUGAGAUCCAAUGUUCUCCAAAAAACUUGCUAUACAGAGGCUUCCCUCAUUUUCUCUCAAAAUCACGAUGGUACCAGUGUGACCCUCUAGUUGUCCACUUCUUUGCAUGACUAACCCAUCUCUUUUGGACAGACAAUUCCUUGAUUUUAUUUCUGUUCCUCUUUGGAUGGAGUUUCUUAUUAUUAAAUGGAUAGUAUGCUCACACCCACUAUCUGCCUCUCCAAAGCCUUGGAAAAACGGUGCUCAUUUUUCACUUGGUAGAGAUAAUAGUGUUCCAAGAAUCACUACUAUACAACAACACUGGCCAAAUGUUAGUAUUGAAACGAUUGGUCUUUGCGUUCAAAGGAAAGUUGGGGGUCAGAAAAAUAGCCUUGCAAUUUCUCAAUCCAGUUCACUCUUCUCCCUUUUUACCUUAUGACUAAGCUUACUCCCUAUCCCUAGCAUUUGUCCCAGAUAAAUAUAUUGUUGGAUAUGGUCCACAGGGUAUCCAUCCAAAUGCAUAUUGAAGUCUGGGCAAAAGACAUUCUUCAUCCAUUUGAUAUUUCCUGGGUGAGUAGAUAAGCCAACUUCUUGGAAUUUUCUUCCAGGAGGCUCUGCAAGAUCCUGGAGCCUGAUGCAAUCAGCAUAAUGUCAUCCACAAACAAGAGGACCUGGAGGACCUUACUAUCCAUAGGAAAUCCCUCUUUAACCUGAAUCUGGGUUGGAUCUCUUCUAUUGCUUUGGUAGAUAACUUGGUGAACUUAUAGCUCCCAGUUUUAUGCUUUGCCUAAUGUUUAUGACCACAGAGUCCCUGAAUAGGGUUAUUUCUAUUAUCUCUUUCAAGGAAUCUGUGUAUUUUAAUAUAUGAAUUGCCAAUAUGCAAGAAUGAUUUGUUCUACCCAAUCAAUUUUUUUCAUAAUCAACACAGCACAGUAGCAUCUCACAUUCUUUAUAACUUUUAAUCAUUACCAGUAUAUCCAAAUUAAUAAAUAAGGUUAAUUAGUGAAGUUUUCUUGCAAAAACCUCAAUAUUUAUGUAGUAAAUUAUUAACAACAUUUUCAGGAGCACAUUGUUUACUAUGACUGCAAAAAUUUGAUUUUAAUAUUCUAUGCCUUUUGAUAUCUUCCCCUUCUUCAGAAACCUCAUUAUAUCCCUUCAGAAGUGGCUCUCCUCCACUAUGGAUCUUUUCUAGAUGUUGUUCUAAUCUGGUUUCUUUAUUCUAAGAGAAUAAAGUAGCCUUUUAGCUGUUCUAUAAGCACCUACAGGGAAUUUGAACUAUCUGCUGUCAUAGAAGAUAGAGAUCUAGGCCUAGAGUCAAGAAGGCGUUAGUUUGUU
ensembl:lncRNA